AACCUAGCACACCUGCGGUGUGUACCUGCGGAAGGAUCAUUACAGAGUUGCAAAACUCCCUAAACCAUUGUGAACGUUACCUAAACCGUUGCUUCGGCGGGCGGCCCGGGUCCUUCCCGGCGCCCAUCGGCCCUCGCGGGCGCCCGCCGGAGGUAAACCAAACUAUUGCAUUGUAUGGCCUCUCUGAGUCUUCUGUACUGAAUAAGUCAAAACUUUCAACAAUGGAUCUCAGAUCGGAAG
rnacentral:misc_RNA from 1 species